ensembl:snoRNA
GCAUGGCUGAAUACUGUGUUCUUUAAUCAGUAGUUUACACAGCCAGACACCAUGCAAAAGUAAAAACUUCCUUUUAAAAUGACAAUGAUAUGCUGUUUUUUCAUGGUGUAUCAUUAUUAAAAGUGAUUACAAAU